AUUCACCGCCCGCCCGAGGGAGCGACCGGGCGCGGCAUAUCCCUUCUCCCCGCCUGCGGGGAGAAGGUGGCGGCAGCCGGUUGAGGGGCAACCCCGACCGAGCGGGGUUGAGGCGGUUGGGUUCGCGAGGGAUCCCUUUCAUGAGCAGUAUCCGCCGCACCGGCGCGCAAGAGAUAUGUGCAUGCCGUAGCGUUCUGACGGGGAGAAGGGACAUGCGGGUUCCUCCCUGUGCUCCUUCUACGCCCGUCCUAUGCUCCUUCUACGAUGGAGAGGGGCUGGGAUUUUGCGGCUUGUCUCUUCGCCCCGCUUGCGGGAAGAAGGUGCCGGCAGGCGG
rnacentral:sRNA from 1 species